UUUGUCCUUAUUUCCUUUGAUUCCAUCAAUUCAUCUUUUUUUCCUCCUUUCUUCAAAACAUUUAAUAUCCAAUUUGUAAAUCAGCUUGAGUUUCACAAGAAGCUGAGAAUUCUAUGCAAGACUGGCAGUUUUCAUGAAGCUACUGAACCCACUAUCUUUCUUAACGUAGGGGAGAGUACUCUAAUUAAAUUUAGAAUGAUUCCAUUUGUUCCGUUUUGGUGUAAUUUUUGGCAGGGACCAAAUUAUAUACAUAAUGUAUAUUUUGAAGCUUUCUUUCCGAGCCAAAAGUUUAUAGAUAGUAUAUGUAAUGGAAUGCACCCCAAUGUAUGUACGUGGGUUGCAAAAGAACGAGCAGUAUAUGUCCGCCACAACAAUGUUCUAAGAGAAAGAUACGGAUGGAAUACUCCAAUAAAACAAAGAGAAAUAGCUCCAGCCAUUGCACUUACAAGUGAACCAGAAUUUGAUUCAUACGUCUAAUAAAAUUCUGACUAAUUAAAAACAUUAUGUGCAAUCUUGGUAUUGUUGUAUCAUAUUGAAAAGAAUAAUAAUAAAAUUUGAUAUUAAGAGCUUUAAAUUGAA